CAAUAAGCUACUUAUGUUUCUCUUACAUUGCGAAUACCUCAACCAAUUUACAGAUACUUCGAAAGACCCGAUUGGACAUAUGAAACGUUAAAAAUCAAACAACAAACUUAGCAAAUACUGCAAACAGUUCACGUUCUGAGAGUAUCUUCUCCGAAAAGCUAACGUGUUUUGCGAUAAUCAUUACAAUGCAAAGGGUACAUAAGAGUGCUUGGUAAAAGUUCAGAUUUGCAAUUAAGUGCAGGCUGGAAUUUUAUCCUUUCAGAUAAAUUGAAUUAUUAUUGAAGUUUCAACCUUCAUAUCAUGAAAUAUAAAGAUUCUAGCAACAUCAUUAAACAACGAGAAGACGAUAGGCACUGGAGUAGCAACCUGUAGUGAAUGAUGCAUUUUCCAUAGUGAAUGAUGGUUUUUAUGGAAGUAGUGUCACACCAUUUGUUGUCAACGAAGGUGUUGUCAUCAGCUGUUGAAAAUAUGAAAUAUUCAUGUUGGUUUUACUAGUUCUACGAUGUGUGUGCAAUUCCACAUCUGAGCACUGUAAGGUCUGGCAGCAAAAUAAAGAUAUAUUCAAAUGGAUCUUGUGCUGUGUCUCACAUCUGACAUCAUACUAGAAAAGGGCCAUGUAAACGUAACAAAAAGUCAUGCGAAUGGACAUCAAAAUGUUCACACAGAUCGAUAUUUGAGACUUAAAUCUUCAGGAUAUAACUUCAUAAAACUGGCGGAUAAAUCAAAAACUGCGAAGUUCUUUCGAAUGGCGAGUAAAACAGUUGUGUCUCUUCGUAGGAAUGAUGAUACAGUAUUUACAUAAUUUAUUAUGCAUUCGAAUGAUGCUGUUCAAGGUAACAAGAAGAAGUUAACAUUUGGCAGUGUG